UAAUUGGAGUUAUCCUGCGAUGCAUGCUUAACUUCUCCGUAUUCUCUUGUCUUUGUGGUGAUGUGGAGGGACCCACUGACCAGAAGAUACAUCAUUGCCUGAACACUGGCAGGAAAGGAAGAGCUGCCAAGUACCAACCAGAAUCUAAACGGAGAUUGUUGAAGGAUGGAAGAAGAAAUUAGAUAUAGGCUGUCAGUGCACAUAUUUUUUGCAUUAAAUUAUAAACAAUAUGCUGUUAAUAUUUAAAUCACGGAGGAAUACCAGAAGAGAAAAUAUGUGUCCUUGUUUUUCUAUCAUUUCACUUUCUCCUCACCAUGUCAAUAUCAAAAGUAUACUGUGUCUUUGUACUCCAUGUCAUCAGGCAUAUGCCUAUCUGCAAGUACACAACACUGCAGAGAUGUUAAAGGCAAAUAAGAAGCAUUCAGAAAACUUCAUGAACAUCAAAUGUCAAUUGCAACACAAGAUUUUGAUACAACUCUUGAUUUGACUGGAUUACUUCCCAACCCUCAGUAAUGCUCCAUUGUGGGAGCCUGUGUCUCAACAGUUCACACCUGCCGUUUACUCCACUGGGUUGUGAAGAUUCACAGAAGAUGACAGGAAGGGGGGAUAAAUAAGCUAAAAUAAACUUUAGAGGAUGGCCCCA
ensembl:lncRNA novel transcript